UCAUUUCCAGCAUGGUAGUUUGCAC
rnacentral:piRNA from 1 species